GUUGUGGUUCAGUGGUAGAGUGCUUGCCUAGCAUGUGUGAGACACUGGGUUUGAUCCUCAGCAUCACA
rnacentral:tRNA from 1 species